UACGUAGGGUGCGAGCGUUAAUCGGAAUUACUGGGCGUAAAGUGUGCGCAGGCGGCGCCGCAAGUCGAGUGUGAAAGCCCCGGGCUUAACUUGGGAAUUGCGCUCGAAACUAUGGUGCUGGAGUGUGGCAGAGGAAGGUGGAAUUCCACGUGUAGCGGUGAAAUGCGUAGAGAUGUGGAGGAACACCGAUGGCGAAGGCAGCCUUCAGGGCCAACACUGACGCUCAUGCACGAAAGCGUGGGGAGCAAACAGG
rnacentral:rRNA from 1 species